rnacentral:rRNA from 1 species
UACGAAGGGGGCUAGCGUUGUUCGGAUUUACUGGGCGUAAAGCGCACGUAGGCGGAUCGAUCAGUCAGGGGUGAAAUCCCAGAGCUCAACUCUGGAACUGCCUUUGAUACUGUCGAUCUGGAGUAUGGAAGAGGUGAGUGGAAUUCCGAGUGUAGAGGUGAAAUUCGUAGAUAUUCGGAGGAACACCAGUGGCGAAGGCGGCUCACUGGUCCAUUACUGACGCUGAGGUGCGAAAGCGCGGGGAGCGAACGGG